GGUCUCCAGGAAGCCACGGAGAGCUUGGCAGCAGAGAAAAUAGUAAUUGAGCAUCAGACAUCACCACUCCUGAAAACACCUUCUACAAGAAUUGAAAAGUGUUGCAGGACCUAAUACUGAAAUAGGAAAUACGGACUAUCUUCAAAUUGCACAAAGGAUGCAUGAAUCCACAAUCUGAGACCCACAGCUCUGAGAUCCCUAACGUGAAUGAUUAAAGAUAUUUUACAAAUUGGGGAGCUCUUUCAAGGGCUUUCCACUUUCAACCUUCUUUCUUUGAAGACCCCAGUUCAUAUUGAGAUUUCUUUAGGGCAUCCUCUGCUCUCAAAUCCCCAGUGAUUCUUCAAACCCAAGAAGCCACAGCAGAUCUUUCUUUUCCCCUAUGGUCUGAGCACAGCUUUGGAAUUCCAUCAAGAGGCUUAAAAUUUAGUGAUUCGGUAGUUUUCUUUGCGGGUUGGGUUCUGUGGAAAACAUUCACAUUCAACCCAGAUAUUUUUCCUGACUCACCUGUGACGAAAAUGUCACUGAAUACAAAACAGAACAGAACUGUAUUUGGCUAGUUAAAUCAACCGCCAUGCUUAUAGUCUUGUAAUGUAGCUUAGUAAUUUUUUUGGUUUGUUUCUUUUUCUUUCCUUUCUUUCUCCCC